GGCUAAUGGGAGAGCGAGAAUGGGAACCGACGCGAUGCUCUUCUUUCCUAUCCAUCGUUCAGCACGGCUUCCGUUUUGUGCGUGGCUUCGCAUUUGUUGAUGGGCUUCUGUUUUCACUCGCCCAUCCUAAACAACGGGGGACCGGAAUUGGAAACAGCCAGCUACUAAAGCCAGAGAUUUGCGAGCUAAGGCUAAUAAUUUGAGGGCUUCGAAUGAAACCCAAUUUAUUUAUACGCUCUGCGGCACUGAAGGGUGUAAUCUGAGCAUCUGCUCGGUGCCUAGUAAGUCGUGCUCCGGAUCCGUCGACGAGCGUAUAUCGUUGCCAGAGACGCCGCAGCAACAAGCCAAGAUCCCUCUCUCGAAGAACAGCCUUGCUCAGGAAGUUACUACCGCAGUCGCCCCACGUACGGCCCACCAGUGGG